rnacentral:rRNA from 1 species
GAUGAACGCUGGCGGCGUGCCUAAUACAUGCAAGUCGAGCGAACAGACGAGGAGCUUGCUCCUUUGACGUUAGCGGCGGACGGGUGAGUAACACGUGGGUAACCUACCUAUAAGACUGGGAUAACUUCGGGAAACCGGAGCUAAUACCGGAUAAUAUUUCGAACCGCAUGGUUCGAUAGUGAAAGAUGGAUCUGCUAUCACUUAUAGAUGGACCUGCGCCGUAUUAGCUAGUUGGUAAGGUAACGGCUUACCAAGGCAACGAUACGUAGCCGACCUGAGAGGGUGAACGGCAACAUCGGGACUGAGACACGGCCCAAACUCCUACGGGAGGCAGCAGUAGGGAAUUUUCCACAAUGGGGGCAACCCUGAGGGAGCAAUGCCGCGUGAGAGAAGAAGGCCUUCGGGUUGUAAAUCUCUGUUAUAAGUGAAGAAAAGUACAAGUAGGAAAUGGCUUGUAUCUGACAUUAGCUUAUCAGAAAGCCACGGCUAACUACGUGCCAGCCGCCGCUGUAA